rnacentral:rRNA from 1 species
CCUACGGGCGGCAGCAGUGGGGGAUAUUGCACAAUGGGGGGAACCCUGAUGCAGCGACGCCGCGUGGGUGAAGGAGUAUUUCGGUAUGUAAAGCCCUAUCGGCAGGGAAGAAAUUGGACGGUACCUGACUAAGAAGCCCCGGCUAACUACGUGCCAGCAGCCGCGGUAAUACGUAGGGGGCAAGCGUUAUCCGGAUUCACUGGGUGUAAAGGGAGCGUAGACGGCCAGGCAAGUCUGAAGUGAAAGGCGGGGGCCCAACCCCUGGACUGCUUUGGAAACGGUAUGGCUGGAGUGCAGGAGAGGUAAGUGGAAUUCCUAGUGUAGCGGUGAAAUGCGUAGAUAUUAGGAGGAACACCAGUGGCGAAGGCGGCUUACUGGACUGUAACUGACGUUGAGGCUCGAAAGCGUGGGGAGCAAACAGGAUUAGAUACCCUUGUAGUC